UACAGAGGUCUCGAGCGUUGUUCGGAUUCAUUGGGCGUAAAGGGCGCGUAGGCGGCGGGGUAAGUCUGGUGUGAAAUCUCGGAGCUCAACUCCGAAAUUGCACUGGAUACUGCUCUGCUAGAGGGCUGGAGAGGAGAUCGGAAUUCACGGUGUAGCAGUGAAAUGCGUAGAUAUCGUGAGGAACACCUGCGGCGAAGGCGGGUAGCUGGGCCGACACUGACGCUGAGGCGCGAAAGCCAGGGGAGCGAACGGG
rnacentral:rRNA from 1 species